CAUCACUAUGAAAGAUCAGUUCAGUACAUCACCAUAAUCAAACCUGACCUCCUCAGCUUGUUGUGUUACUGAUCUGAAUGUAGGGGAACCACCAGUUAAUAUCUAACUAUCUACACUCCAACUGACGGUGUAGGUUCUUAUAGAGCAGCUAACAGGAUCAGAGAAGGUCACACUCUGCAGAGACACUCCCACCUGCAGUUCUACAUAUCUCUGUAAUCACACUGACAGACAUAUAUGACACACUCAGUUUUAGAACAUGGACAUUAUCAAACAUGGACGCCUCAGCUUUUUAAUAUCACUACUCUGCAUACAAGGUCUAACUGAUGGGAGUGAUGUCACCCAGACGCCGGACAUACUGUGGGGGAAAAAAGGUGACAAUGCAACAAUAAACUGCAGCCACACCAAGGAUGCUGGCUACAACCAGAUGUACUGGUACAGACAGCUGCCAGGAGAAACAAUGAAACUAAUUGUGUUCACAAGAUACGGCUUCGACGAUCAUGAUUUUGGAGAUUUCAGCAAAGACAAAUUCUCAGCCACCAAGCCUGACACUGAGAGUGGGACAUUCACAGUGAACAAUCUGGAGCCAGAAGAUAAAGGCUUGUAUUUCUGUGCUGUGAGUCAACACAGUGAUACAGACACAUUCAACAGCUGAACAAAAACCCCAGUUGACCGUUGGCUCUAUUAGUGAGUCUAUCUAUCUGCUGUACUGUAGGGGGACCUCAAGUACAAUCUAGGGCUAGAUCCCAAUAUUCGUCACAAUGAAUAAAAGACAGCUUUGUCUUUAAUUAUCUGUAGGGGGAGCUCUAGACACGUAGACUGUGCUAAGAUUUGUGGUUAGUAUUCAGUGUAAUUCAUGACUUUUACACUGGAGCGUAGCAACAUUAAAUAUGUUUUUUUUACAGCAGUAAUAAUGUCACAGUAAAUGUGAAAUUAACAUAAUUGUACUCCAUACUACUGAACAGGUGUCCUGGCAUUUGUAGAAUCUAAUUCAGUGCUGAGCUGAUUUAAUUAUGUACACUUCUUACUGCAUGUAUUAUGUUUCUCUUUAUUUUCAGUAGACAUUUCUAUUUGCCUUUUCAUGCAUUGCAGAACUGCAUUGAACCACUCUGUUCGAUGGU